rnacentral:rRNA from 1 species
AGUAACGGCGAGUGAAGCGGCAACAGCUCAAAUUUGAAAUCUGGCGCAAGCCCGAGUUGUAAUUUGCAGAGGAUGUUUCUGGCGACGCGCCUUCCGAGUUCCCUGGAACGGGACGCCAUAGAGGGUGAGAGCCCCGUACGGUUGGAUGCCUAGCCUCUGUGAAACUCCUUCGACGAGUCGAGUUGUUUGGGA